UACGUAGGAGGCGAGCGUUGUCCGGAGUUACUGGGCGUAAAGGGUGCGCAGGCGGCGGUUCGCGUGGAUAGAUGAAAUCUCCUGGCUUACCUGGGAGGAUGGUAUCCAGACGGGAUCGCUUGAGGGUCGGAGAGGGGCGUGGAAUUCCGGGUGAGCGGUGGAAUGCGUAGAGAUCCGGAAGAACACCGGUGGCGAAGGCGGCCUGCUGGGCAGUAGCUGACACUGAGGCGCGACAGCGUGGGGAGCAAACAGG
rnacentral:rRNA from 1 species